rnacentral:lncRNA from 1 species
UGAAGAGUAAGAGUCUUGCUAAAGCUCGUCAUGUCAUUUGGCUAGCAACCACUUGGAGUAUAUGGUGAACUCGAAACAACAUUAUGUUUCGUGGAGAUGUGUUUAAUUUGGCCUUACUUGUUGAUCAGAUUAUUUUUAUUUCCUGGGUUUGGUUUGUAGGUCGAAUAGAACUUAAUCCUUCAUUUGUAUUCUCAGACUGGUGUAACGAUCCAUUAGCUUGCAUUCUAAGCAUCUAAUGGUUUUCGUAAUUUUUGUAAGG